rnacentral:misc_RNA from 1 species
UCGUCACCUGUCCAAAACAGAACAACCCGCGAACGAACGAUCAUCACUCUCGGUUGGCCGGUUUCUUUACUGAUCCGUGCUUUGCCGAUUCCGUGGUUUCGCGUGUGGUCUUCAUCAAGAUUAAUAGUCUUGAUCGGACCAUGCGUGUUGCUUCCGGAUAUCACAAAACCCCGGCACGAAAAGUGUCAAGGAACAUGCAACAAAACAGCCUGCCUUCGCCGCCCCGGAAACGGUGUGUGUGCGAAAGUUGUGCUGCAAUAUAAAGUCUAUAACGACUCUCGGCAACGGAUAUCUCGGCUCUCGCAUCGAUGAAGAACGUAGCGAAAUGCGAUACUUGGUGUGAAUUGCAGAAUCCCGUGAACAUCGAGUCUUUGAACGCAAGUUGCGCCCCAAGCCUUCAGGCCGAGGGCACGUCUGCCUGGGUGUCACAAAUCGUCGUCCCCAUCCUUUGCGGAUAAGGGACGGAAGUUGGUCUCCCGUGUGUUACCGCACGCGGUUGGCCUAAAUCUGAGCUAAGGACGUCUUGGAGCGUCUCGACAUGCGGUGGUGAAAUAAAGCCUGGUCAUUUMGUCGGUCGCUCCAGUCUGAAUGCUCUUGAUGACCCUAUGUCCUUCAC